rnacentral:ncRNA from 1 species
UACUAGCAGGAUCAACUAGGUAGCUUUUUUACAUUCAUAGAACGUUCCAGCUUCAAGCAACUAGAAUCCACCAUUUUCAAUACACACACCUUAUCAAUGCCCUGGGAGCUGAUCGUAACGGGAGACGGGGAAUCAGGGUUCGAUUCCAGAGAGGAAGUCUGAUAAGCGGCUACCACAUCCAAGGAAAGCAACAGGUGUGCAAAUUCCGCACUCCCAGACCGGGAAGAUAGUGACGAAAGAUAACAAUACGUGACUCUUUUGAGACCCGAAAUUGGGAUGAGUAAACUCUAAAUCCUUUAACGAGGAUCAAUUAGAGGGCGAAUCUUCUUCCAGCAGCCGCGAUAAUUCCAGUUCCAAU